GGGCUUGUAGUUCAGUGGUAGAACACUCGCUUUGCAUAGCAACUUGUGAGAGGUCCAGGGGUUCGAUUCCCUGCAAGUCCG